rnacentral:rRNA from 1 species
AUCUACCGUGGGCGCUGGAAAUUUGAGAGGAUCUGCUCCUAGUACGAGAGGACCAGAGUGGACGAACCUCUGGUGUACCGGUUGUGACGCCAGUCGCAUCGCCGGGUAGCUAUGUUCGGAAGGGAUAACCGCUGAAAGCAUCUAAGCGGGAAGCCUACCUCAAGAUAAGAUUUCCCUAGGACUUUAUGUCCUCUAAAGAGCCGUUCGAGACUAGGACGUUGAUAGGUUGGAUGUGGAAGCAUAGUGAUAUGUGAAGCUGACCAAUACUAAUUGCUCGUGAGGCUUGACUAUACAACACCCAAGCAGUUG